AUUGAACGCUGGCGGCAGGCCUAACACAUGCCAGUCGAGCGGAUGAAGGGAGCUUGCUCCUGGAUUCAGCGGCGGACGGGUGAGUAAUGCCUAGGAAUCUGCCUGGUAGUGGGGGAUAACGUCCGGAAACGGGCGCUAAUACCGCAUACGUCCUGAGGGAGAAAGUGGGGGAUCUUCGGACCUCACGCUAUCAGAUGAACCUAGGUCGGAUUAGCUAGUUGGUGGGGUAAAGGCCUACCAAGGCGACGAUCCGUAACUGGUCUGAGAGGAUGAUCAGUCACACUGGAACUGAGACACGGUCCAGACUCCUACGGGAGGCAGCAGUGGGGAAUAUUGGACAAUGGGCGAAAGCCUGAUCCAGCCAUGCCGCGUGUGUGAAGAAGGUCUUCGGAUUGUAAAGCACUUUAAGUUGGGAGGAAGGGCAGUAAGUUAAUACCUUGCUGUUUUGACGGUACCAACAGGAUAAGCACCGGCUAACUUCGUG
rnacentral:rRNA from 1 species